UCAAAGCAGGCCCGUGCCUGAAUGAUACAGCAUGGAACGAACAAACGUGUUUGUGAGUGUGUGGUGCAUGUUUAAAGCAUAAUCGGACGCUCAUCUCACCAACCACCGUGUACGGAUGUUGGUAGCCGUAUCGGGGUGAUGAUUAAAACGAGCGGUUGGGGGCAUUAGUAUUUGGUGGCGAGAGGUGAAAUUCUUAGACCCACCAAGGACUAACAACGGCGAAAGCAUUUGCCAAGACCGUCUCGAUUGAUCAAGAACGAAAGUGAGAGGUUCGAAGACGAUCAGAUACCGUCCUAGUUCUCACCGUAAACUAUGCCGACCCGUGAUCGGCGCUGAGCGAAUGUCGUGCUCACCGUCGGUCGCCCUGGGAAACCUGAAGUGUUCGGGUUACGGGGAGAGUAUGGUCGCAAGGCUGAAACUUAAAGGAAUUGACGGAAGGGCACCACCAGGGGUGGAGCCUGCGGCUUAAUUUGACUCAACACGGGGAAACUUACCCGCAUACGUCGUCACCAUGAUGGACAGACUGCCGAUCUUUCCUGAUAUGACGGUUGGUGGUGCAUGGCCGCUUUUAGUUCGUGAGGUGACUUGUCAGGUUGAUUCCGGUAACAGAACGAGACCGCAAUCUCCAUUUACGACGCGGGAUGGUGGUAACCGCGAGGCCCACAACGCUCGUUGCGUCCUGACGCCGUCAGGCCAGGGAUUGCGACGGGUGCCUCCUGUAAGGCCGUUCACGGUCAAACGUGGUCGGUUGUAUGGAGAGACAACCGACGCUAAGUCGGAGGAAGUGCGGCGAGAGCAGGUCAGUUAUGCCCCUAGACAUACGGGGCAGCACGCGCGCUACAAUGACGGCGACAGUGAGUUAUCUAGUCCGAGAGGACCGGGCAAUCUGUCAAUCGCCGUCGUGAUGGGGAUUGUCCCUUGUAACUGGGACAUGAAACAGGAAUCCCUUGUACGCGUACUUCAUCGAGAGUACGUGGAAUGAGUCCCUGCCCUUUGUACACACCGCCCGUCGCUACUACCGAGUGAAUGGUGUCAUGAUGCGUUGGGACCGGACGCUGCUUGAGCCUCGGCCGAGCGGCGCUGGAAUCAAUGUAGAAUGGUGCAAUUUCGAGGAA
rnacentral:rRNA from 1 species